rnacentral:misc_RNA from 1 species
GAUGAAGAACGCAGCGAAAUGCGAUAAGUAGUGUGAAUUGCAGAAUUCAGUGAAUCAUCGAAUCUUUGAACGCACAUUGCGCCCCUUGGUUAUUCCGAAGGGCAUGCCUGUUCGAGCGUCAUUAUCACCCCUCAAGCCCUGGCUUGGUGUUGGACUUUAGUUAUAGCUUUGCCUAUCAACUGGUCUCAAAGAUAGUGACGGCGCCCCAGAGGGAACCGGGUACGAGGAGCUUUUUACUAAGCAUGUAUCUGGGAUGACUCUGAUGGACGACGGUCUUGUUAUACUUUUACCUAAGUGUUGACCUCGGAUCAGGUAGGAAUACCCGCUGAACUUAAGCAUAUCAAUAAGCGGAGGA